CAAGUCGAGUGCGCGUCUCCGUAGCAAUACGGGAAUGGCGCACGGCGCACGGGUGCGUAACACGUGGGUAAUCUGCCCUUCGAUGGGGAAUAACUCGCCGAAAGGCGAGCUAAUUCCGCAUAACAUUCCUUGGACUCCGGUUCGAGGAUUCAAAGGCGUAAGUCGUCGGAGGAGGAGCCCGCGCACGAUUAGCUAGUUGGUGAGGUAAUGGCUCACCAAGGCUAUGAUCGUUAGCUGGUCUGAGAGGAUGGCCAGCCACACUGGAACUGAGACACGGUCCAGACUCCUACGGGAGGCAGCAGUGGGGAAUCUUGCACAAUGGGCGAAAGCCUGAUGCAGCGACGCCGCGUGGGGGAUGAAGCUUCUCGGAGUGUAAACCCCUUUCGACCGGGACGAAUGCCCGCAAGGGACUGACGGUACCGGUAUAAGAAGCCCCGGCUAACUACGUGCCAGCAGCCGCGGUAAGACGUAGGGGGCCAGCGUUGCUCGGAAUUACUGGGUGUAAAGGGUUCGUAGGCGGUGUAGCAAGUCGGGAGUGAAAUCUCUGGGCUCAACCCAGGGGCUGCUUCCGAAACUGCUGUGCUAGAGUGUGGGAGAGGCGCGUGGAAUUGCAGGUGUAGCGGUGAAAUGCGUAGAUAUCUGCAGGAACACCCGUGGCGAAAGCGGCGCGCUGGACCACUACUGACGCUGAGGAACGAAAGCUAGGGGAGCAAACAGGAUUAGAUACCCUGGUAGUCCUAGCCCUAAACGAUCAGGACUUGGGGUGCCACCCGUUCGGGUGUCGUCCCGGAGCUAACGCGUUAAGUCCUGCACCUGGGGAGUACGGUCGCAAGACUGAAACUCAAAGGAAUUGACGGGGGCCC
rnacentral:rRNA from 1 species